rnacentral:rRNA from 1 species
CUAUGACGGGUAUCCGGCCUGAGAGGGUGAACGGACACACUUGGAACUGAGACACGGUCCAGACUCCUACGGGAGGCAGCAGUAGGGAAUAUUGCUCAAUGGGGGAAACCCUGAAGCAGCAACGCCGCGUGGAGGAUGAAGGUUUUAGGAUUGUAAACUCCUUUUGUUAGAGAAGAUAAUGACGGUAUCUAACGAAUAAGCACCGGCUAACUCCGUGCCAGCAGCCGCGGUAAUACGGAGGGUGCAAGCGUUACUCGGAAUCACUGGGCGUAAAGAGCGCGUAGGCGGGAUAGUCAGUCAGGUGUGAAAUCCUAUGGCUUAACCAUAGAACUGCAUUUGAAACUACUAUUCUAGAGUGUGGGAGAGGUAGGUGGAAUUCUUGGUGUAGGGGUU